rnacentral:rRNA from 1 species
CGGACGGGUGGAGUAACGCGUGGAAAACCUGCCGUAUACUGGGGGAUAACACUUAGAAAUAGGUGCUAAUACCGCAUAAGCGCACAGCUUCGCAUGAAGCGGUGUGAAAAACUCUGGUGGUAUACGAUGGUUCCGCGUCUGAUUAGCUAGUUGGUGGGGUAAUGGCCUACCAAGGCAACGAUCAGUAGCCGGCCUGAGAGGGUGAACGGCCACAUUGGGACUGAGACACGGCCCAAACUCCUACGGAAGGCAGCAG